UACGUAGGGGGCAAGCGUUGUCCGGAAUUAUUGGGCGUAAAGAGCGUGUAGGCGGCCCGGUAAGUCCGCUGUGAAAGUCGGGGGCUCAACCCUCGAAUGCCGGUGGAUACUGUCGGGCUAGAGUGCGGAAGAGGCGAGUGGAAUCCUGGUGUAGCGGUGAAAUGCGCAGAUAUCAGGAGGAACACCAAUUGCGAAGGCAGCUCGCUGGGACGUAACUGACGCUGAGACGCGAAAGCGUGGGGAGCAAACAGG
rnacentral:rRNA from 1 species